rnacentral:rRNA from 1 species
UUUUAUGAGAGUUUGAUCCUGGCUCAGGACGAACGCUGGCGGCGUGCCUAAUACAUGCAAGUCGAACGCUUCUUUUUCCACCGGAGCUUGCUCCACCGGAAAAAGAGGAGUGGCGAACGGGUGAGUAACACGUGGGUAACCUGCCCAUCAGAAGGGGAUAACACUUGGAAACAGGUGCUAAUACCGUAUAACAAUCAAAACCGCAUGGUUUUGAUUUGAAAGGCGCUUUCGGGUGUCGCUGAUGGAUGGACCCGCGGUGCAUUAGCUAGUUGGUGAGGUAACGGCUCACCAAGGCCACGAUGCAUAGCCGACCUGAGAGGGUGAUCGGCCACAUUGGGAC